AACGGGAAGGGCGAGCGUUUUUCGUAAUUAAUGGGCGUAAAGGGUACGCAGGCGGUUGUUGGCAGUGAAUCCGGAAAACCCAGGGUCUAACUCCGGCAAAGGAUUUAAACGCAACAACUAGAGUCAUGAAGAGGAUAGUAGUACUUUUAAAGUAGAGAUGAAAAACGUCGAUAUUAAAAAGACUCCCAAAAGCGAAGGCAACUAUCCAUCAAUGAACUGACGCUAAGGUACGAAGGCAUGGGGAUCAAAUCGG
rnacentral:rRNA from 1 species